rnacentral:rRNA from 1 species
UAGGGAAUCUUCGGCAAUGGACGAAAGUCUGACCGAGCAACGCCGCGUGAGUGAAGAAGGUUUUCGGAUCGUAAAACUCUGUUGUUAGAGAAGAACAAGGACGUUAGUAACUGAACGUCCCCUGACGGUAUCUAACCAGAAAGCCACGGCUAACUACGUGCCAGCAGCCGCGGUAAUACGUAGGUGGCAAGCGUUGUCCGGAUUUAUUGGGCGUAAAGCGAGCGCAGGCGGUUUCUUAAGUCUGAUGUGAAAGCCCCCGGCUCAACCGGGGAGGGUCAUUGGAAACUGGGAGACUUGAGUGCAGAAGAGGAGAGUGGAAGUCCAUGUGUAGCGGUGAAAUGCGUAGAGAUGUGGAGGAAUACCGGUGGCGAAGGCGGCCCCCUGGACAAAGACUGACGCUCAGGUGCGAAAGCGUGGGGAGCAAACAGG